rnacentral:sRNA from 1 species
GGCUCCACCAUGGUGGAGGAGCAGUUUGCGGGCGGAGACCGCGCCCGGGCUUUUGCCCGGGACUUCGCUGCCCACCGCAAGAAGUCGGGGGCUCUGCCAGUGGCCUGGCUUGAACGGACGAUGCGGUCAGUAGGGCUGGAGGUCUACACGCAGAGUUUCUCCCGGAAACUGCCCUUCCCAGAUGAGACCCACGAGCGCUAUAUGGUGUCAGGCACCAAUGUGUACGGCAUCCUGCGGGCCCCGCGUGCUGCCAGCACCGAGUCACUUGUGCUCACCGUGCCCUGUGGCUCUGACUCUACCAACAGCCAGGCUGUGGGGCUGCUGCUGGCACUGGCUGCCCACUUCCGGGGUGAGUCUCAGGGCUGCUGGCCAUGGAGGGCUUUGGUCAGUGCCCCAGACCCUGCUGAUCCUGCUUCUCGUCUCCAGGGCAGAUUUAUUGGGCCAAAGAUAUCAUCUUCCUGGUAACAGAACAUGACCUCCUGGGCACUGAAGCUUGGCUUGAAGCCUACCACGAUGUCAAUGUCACUGACCUUCUGCCAGAAAGGGGGCCUGUUGUGCACGCUUCAGGGCAAGCUGCAGCCCCAGGACUGGACGUCAUUGGACGGACCACUGCAGGGCCUGCAGACACUGCUGCUCAUGGUUCUGCGGCAGGCCUCUGGCCGUCCCCACGGCUCCCAUGGCCUCUUCCUGCGCUACCGUGUGGAGGCCCUAACCCUGCGUGGCAUCAAUAGCUUCCGCCAGUACAAGUAUGACCUGGUGGCAGUGGGCAAGGCUUUGGAGGGCAUGUUCCGCAAGCUCAACCACCUCCUGGAGCGCCUGCACCAGUCCUUCUUCCUCUACUUGC